rnacentral:tRNA from 1 species
GGCUACGUAGCUCAGCUGGUUAGAGCACAUCACUCAUAAUGAUGGGGUCACAGGUUCGAAUCCCGUCGUAGC